GAUGAACGCUGGCGGCGUGCCUAAUACAUGCAAGUCGAGCGAACAGACGAGGAGCUUGCUCCUCUGACGUUAGCGGCGGACGGGUGAGUAACACGUGGAUAACCUACCUAUAAGACUGGGAUAACUUCGGGAAACCGGAGCUAAUACCGGAUAAUAUAUUGAACCGCAUGGUUCAAUAGUGAAAGACGGUUUUGCUGUCACUUAUAGAUGGAUCCGCGCCGCAUUAGCUAGUUGGUAAGGUAACGGCUUACCAAGGCAACGAUGCGUAGCCGACCUGAAAGGGUGAUCGCCCAGACUGGAACUGAGACACGGCCCCGACUCCUACGGGAGGAAGCAGUAGGGAAUCUUCCGCAAUGGGGGAAAGCCUGACGGAGCAACGCGGCGUGAGUGAUGAAGGUCUUCGGAUCGUAAAACUCUGUUAUUAGGGAAGAACAAAUGUGUAAGUAACUAUGCACGUCUUGACGGUACCUAAUCAGAAAGCCACGGCUAACUACGUG
rnacentral:rRNA from 1 species